rnacentral:rRNA from 1 species
GAUUAGGGGUGAAAGGCCAAUCAAACUGGGUGAUAGCUGGUUCUCCCCGAAAUAUAUUUAGGUAUAGCCUCGAGUAAUUGUAUGAUGGAGGUAGAGCACUGAUUGGGCUAGGGGUCUUUACCAGAUUACCAAAACCCACUCAAACUCCGAAUGCCAUUCAUAUCUAUCUCGGGAGACAGUCCAUGGGUGAUAAGGUCCGUGGACGAGAGGGAAAGAGCCCCAGACCAUCAGCUAAGGUCCCCAAAAUUUACACUAAGUGGAGAACGUUGUGGGGUUACUUUGACAACUAGGAGGUUGGCUUAGAAGCAGCCAUCCUUUAAAGAAAGCGUAAUAGCUCACUAGUCGAGUCGGCCUGCGCGGAAGAUAUAACGGGGCUCAAACUGGUAACCGAAGCUGCGGAUGCACGUAAGUGCGUGGUAGGGGAGCGUUCUGUACGCCGCUGAAGGUGGAUCGGAGAGGUCUGCUGGAGGUAUCAGAAGUGCGAAUGCUGACAUGAGUAACGAUAAUGCGGU